rnacentral:rRNA from 1 species
AACGAACGCUGGCGGCAUGCCUAACACAUGCAAGUCGAACGAGACCUUCGGGUCUAGUGGCGCACGGGUGCGUAACGCGUGGGAACCUGCCCUUAGGUUCGGAAUAACUCCCCGACAGGGGUGCUAAUACCGGAUAAUUUCUUCGGACCAAAGAUUUAUCGCCUUUGGAUGGGCCCGCGUUGGAUUAGCUAGUUGGUAGGGUAAAAGCCUACCAAGGCGACGAUCCAUAGCUGGUCUGAGAGGAUGAGCAGCCACACUGGGACUGAGACACGGCCCAGACUCCUACGGGAGGGAGCGGUGGGGAAUAUUAGACAAGGGGCGAAAGCCUGAUCCAGCAAUGCCGCGUGAGUGAUGAAGGCCUGAGGGUUGGAAAGCUCUUUUACCCGGGAGGAUAAUGAAAGUACCGGGAGAAUAAGCUCCGGCUAACUCCGGGC